AUCUUAUCAAAGUUUGAUGUUUAGAAUGAUACUGAUUUUCAUGAUUAAUGAUUCCAUAUAACUCUUCUAGACUGUUGAGAAGAAGAAAAUAGAAGUCCACUUUCUAAGCCUCACUAAGCACACAUGGCAGAAACCAGGAGAUAAGGAGUGGCAAGAUCUCAAACCACUGGUGCUGAUGAAUUCAUGAAUAUGUGAUGGUAUUGUGAAUUGAGUACCAUUUCUUCAAAAAAGGUCAAGAACACACCAUGUGGAUCAGAUGGUAACCAAGGUAAUCUCAUUUUAUCUUUUUGAAGCAAGGCAUUUUCAGCCUUUCCUUUAUCCUCCAUUUUUUGGUUCUUAAUCCUCUCACUUUCUUUGGGGUGCUUUUCUGCAAUGACACCUGGAGUGUACUCCUGAAUUUCACUUCCUCUUUUUCAGACUGUAGAUUCCCAGGAAAACUGAACCAGUUGCAUUUCAGUGCACUUGAAGAGAUUUGUAAGGAAGCAAGGCAGAAUGAGCUCACCUUGCCAGUGGACAGGAGACACCAUGAAAAAACCACAAUGGAAUCAGCUGUGAGGAGGAGCUCAGUAGCUCCAGAGUGGCCAGUCAUCCGUCCAUGUUUAUCUUCACUCUGGUCUGUGAGAAUGCCCAAGAAGUCAAGACACUACCAUGCACCUGGAAACACUGCAGCAUACACAGGGAAGUGGAAGUACUUAAAAGCAAAUCAGAAAGACUGGUAAGGGGAGCAAAGUUGACUAAUUCUUUUUUCAGGGGAGU
rnacentral:lncRNA from 1 species